rnacentral:rRNA from 1 species
CUGGUUGAUCCUGCCAGUAGUCAUAUGCUUGUCUCAAAGCUUAAGCCAUGCAAGUCUCAGUACGAACUGACUUAAAGUGAAACCGCAAAAGGCUCAGUAAACCGGUCAUAGUUUACCGGAUAUAUGCCACUCACGUGGAUAACUGUGGUAAUUCUAGAGCUAAUACAUGCAAACAAGUCC